UACGAAGGGGGCUAGCGUUGUUCGGAAUCACUGGGCGUAAAGCGCACGUAGGCGGAUUGUUAAGUCGGGGGUGAAAUCCUGAGGCUCAACCUCAGAACUGCCUUCGAUACUGGCAAUCUCGAGUCCGGAAGAGGUUGGUGGAACAGCUAGUGUAGAGGUGAAAUUCGUAGAUAUUCGCAAGAACACCAGUGGCGAAGGCGGCUCACUGGCCCGGUACUGACGCUGAGGCACGAAAGCGUGGGGAGCAAACAGG
rnacentral:rRNA from 1 species